UUCUUCUGCAUAUAACUAGUCAACUAUCCCAGCAUGAUUUAUUGAAAUGGGAGUCCUCUCAUUGCUAAUUUCUGUCAACUUUUUGAAAGAUCAGGUGGCUCUAGAUGUAUGGCUUUGUCUCCGAUAUCUUUAUUCUGUCCCAUUGGUCUAUGUGUCUGUUUUUUAGGAGUACUAUGCUCUUUUGGUUACCGUAGCUUUAUAGUAUAAUUUGAAAUUAGUGUGAUGCCUCC